UGGGGAAUAUUGCACAAUGGGCGAAAGCCUGAUGCAGCAACGCCGCGUGAGUGAUGAAGGCCUUCGGGUUGUAAAGCUCUGUCUUUUGGGACGAUAAUGACGGUACCAAAGGAGGAAGCCACGGCUAACUACGUGCCAGCAGCCGCGGUAAUACGUAGGUGGCAAGCGUUGUCCGGAUUUACUGGGCGUAAAGGAUGCGUAGGCGGAUUUUUAAGUGAGAUGUGAAAUACCCGGGCUUAACUUGGGUGCUGCAUUUCAAACUGGGAAUCUAGAGUGCGGGAGAGGAGAAUGGAAUUCCUAGUGUAGCGGUGAAAUGCGUAGAGAUUAGGAAGAACACCAGUGGCGAAGGCGAUUCUCUGGACCGUAACUGACGCUGAGGCAUGAAAGCGUGGGUAGCAAACAGGAUUAGAUACCCUGGUAGUCCACGCCGUAAACGAUGAGUACUAGGUGUAGGAGGUAUCGACCCCUUCUGUGCCGCAGUUAACACAAUCAAGUACUCCGCCUGGGAAGUACGAUCGCAAGAUUAAAACUCAAAUGAAUUGACGGGGUCAUAGCUG
rnacentral:rRNA from 1 species